UGGUUUUCUCGUUUGAAUUGCUUUACAUUGUUAUUUCGUUUUUUUUUAUGCGGUAUGGGCUUUGCUUAUUAUUGAAGGCCGUACUGUGUCAUUUUUGGUCUCUUGUGGAGAGUUGUUUCAUUGGUAAUCAUAUCACAACUUUUUUUUCAUAAGCUACAAGUUGAUUGGACUUCAACUUCAUCAAAAGCUACUUUGACCAAAUAAAAAUCACAUAAAGUAAGAUAGACGGACGAACCAACCAACGACCGGACAAAGAGAGAGCAACGUUUUCGUCGAAAUUAACGACUGCGCAGAAGAAUAAUUGUCGACGACGUCAUUAUCAUUACCGCUGACAACGUCGAAGUUUCGCUGAUGUCUGCAGGACUUAUUCUUAGACUUCUAAUAAGACAAAAUAUAAAAAUGACAGAGCAAGACAAAAGAGAGCAACAUGCUUUGUAUUUUUACGAUGCGAUUCUAAGCGAAGCAGUUUUUGAGUGUUUACUUGAGGAGUGGGAAAACAUAGAGACUGACAAAGGGAAAGCUUUAAAGAAGGAACU